CCCUUAGAUGUUCUGGGCCGCACGCGCGCUACACUGACGAAGUCAGCGAGCAUGUCCUACGCCGACAGGUGCGGGGAAUCUUGUCAAACUUCGUCGUGAUGGGGAUUGAUUAUUGAAAUUCUUGAUCAUCAACGAGGAAUUCCUAGUAAGCGCAAGUCAGCAGCUUGCGUUGAUUACGUCCCUGCCCUUUGUACACACCGCCCGUCGCUACUACCGAUUGAAUGGUUUAGUGAGAUCUUCGGAUUGGCGCCACUGCGGUUCAGCAAUGGGCUCGGUGGAUGCCGAAAAGUUGAUCAAACUUGAUCAUUUAGAGGAAGUAAAAGUCGUAACA
rnacentral:rRNA from 1 species